CUGCCCUUAAUUAGCAAUCCGAAAUGUUCAAGAAUUACGACUCGAAAUAUCUGAAGCCCUUUCAGGAAUAAGCUGAUAUAUCUUACGACAUCCGUCCCCAUAUAUUAGAAAUAGGCGGGAUCGCACUUUACCCAAGAAACCUAUCCCAUCCCUAUAUCUUAUCUUUUCCUUUCCAACUUGUGGGGUCUUGACUUUGAAAACUUCGAAAGAUCUGUGAUCAAGCACUUUCCUUCCAGAAUUACAGAGAAACAGGGUCCUCAUUUCCUAGUAGAGAUGUUAACUGACCAUAAAAUAUAUCUGAAAUCAUUGCAUGCAUGUUCCUCCAGUUUCUGCAAUGCUCUAAACUAGCAAAGUAGCGAGUAAAGUCAGCAACUAUCUACUGGACUAUAAUCAUUGUAUUGUAGCCAUAAGCUACUAAUGAUGUCCAACCAUUUAUUGCUCCAAUGCAGCGGCUCUUCCCAUGCCACAAUUAUAUAAACCUUUUAGUUUUCGUGAUACCCACUACACCUUCUCUCCCCUUCUUCUUCCCCUCUCGUUCAGGAAACACCUGAAAAAGUGAACUAUGAAGGGCAAUUUUUUGCUGGGGUACUUUAACAAGUGGAAGAAGGAGGGAACAAGCGUCAAACCUUACCCUGCUUGUGAGUACUCCUGCCAAUGGGCUUCCAUGCAUGAGAAGAGCUCCAUCCCAAGUGAUGUCCCAAAAGGUCACCUGGUUGUCUAUGUUGGUGAGAACCACAAGAGGUUUAUAAUCAAGAUCGCACAGCUCAAUCAUCCACUCUUCAAGGAAUUGCUGGAUCAAGCUCACGAAGAAUAUGGUUUUACUGCAGAUUCAAAACUUUGUAUCCCUUGUGAUGAGCAUCUUUUCCUCAGUGUCCUUUGUUGCGCCAGCUCUCCACAGCGCGAACGGAUGUGUUUGUGCCUUUGAGAAAUAAUAUCCGUUGAAACAUUUGUUCAAACAGUUAGAGUUCUGACUAGAAAGUUGAUGUGAUGUGUGAUGUAAUAUCUAGUUUACUGAUGUAAAUCUAUUCUCGAACAUAGGAGAUUUCAUUCUGUUAUGUUGCUCUUAUUUGCAAGAUGUAAAGGUUGUAACUUUCAGCGAACCAAUGCCAGCUCUGCAUUAACUAGACUACGACCAAAACCCGAAGGCAUGGAGGAACUCGAAGUCGAAGAAGGGGAAAAAUAUGCAUUGGACCAAUCUACUGCAACAACAAAGGAAAAAUUGCUGAAGAUUGUCUGCCAUGAUGGGUGAACGGAAACCCGUGACACUUAUGUCACUUUGUUUCUCAACAUUUGCUUCAAGAAACAACAAUGCAUUGCGAACCAUGUUUUCAAGUGCGAAAGUAAGAUAUGUGAUCCCAGGAAAUCUCACAUGGUUUUUUUUUUUUUUUUUGGGGGGGGUGUCGGGGGAGGGAUUGCAUUCCAUCUGCCGCGUGGAGAGACUUUCUUGAUUGUUCUUAACAAACAUCACAUAUAUGAACAUCAAUAGAACCAAAAGUUGUGAGAGCAACAGCAAUCAACAAUGCUGAAGGUGGAGUUUCUGGUUUUUAAUCAUGGAAUUUCAGGUUAAAAAAGUGGAGAAGAGUUAAAAGAACAAGUCUAAGUGCAACUGCAAGGGUUAUGACAGAGAGCGAAUAGCACGAAAAAAACCGAGGCGAGGUUGAUGGCGAGGGCUACUAGGGACCAACAGGAAAUAUGUGGAACUCGAUUUCAUUUCUGCAGAGGAUGUGUGAUAGGAUGUGGCAGCCAUACUGCAUGAAUUAAAAAGGAAGAAAUGGCAGGAAGGAGGCCAUUCAUGAUAAGGGGAGGACCACCUUGCUUUACACUUAUAGCUCAACUCCGAUUCUCUCUGCAACUGCCAAUAAUCUGACUCAAACUAGCAAAACUCAACGCCCUGCCUGGCCACCUAUCUUCAUUAAUAGAGUCUGAUAAAUGUAUAUGGAUAUAGAUUCUUCUAAUAAACUCUUGGCAUACCCACUAUAUAGUGCCUACGCGUCCCUCUCCCUACCUACUUAUUUCCCAAGUAGUUUAUAAAGAGAUUCUUAACUAGCAUAA